UUUUCAGUAUCAGAAAUCAAUUUAUUAUUGAUUUUUGGUGAUGUUCCAGUUCAUACUGUCUUCAUAGCACUGACUGUCACUCAAGUCAAUGCAGAUGUUCACCAGUUUUGCACUUGGAAUCAUGUUCAAUUUGGACAGAGUGCACAUCAUUUUGGAUGAAAUGGUGCUAAAUGGUUGCAUCGUGGAAACAAACCGGAACAGAAUUCUCGCGCCUCUGUUUGUGCUGGACAAAGUGGCAGAAGGCUAGGAAGAUGCAAGUGUGACUAAGACAUUUUACAAAAGAUGGCAAAAGCAUCAAGAAUGUGCCUAUAGCAGUUUUCUGCUCUUGCAAGACUGACUCAUGCAACAUUCAAAUUAGUUGGAAAAUAUUUUCCAUUUCUUUUAUGCUUUGUGUACCCAAUGGGAAAGAUACAGCUAAACAUGUGGAUGCAUUCAGAUGCAGCUUCACUGACCCAGCAGAAAUUUUCCUAGAAUGGUCAAUAAUUUUAAAACAUUUGAGGAUGAAGAAAUGGAAACUUACCAUGACUGACUAGGUAUCACUUUUAAUUAUGCAGUAUCAUGUCAGACCUAGAAGAAAAAAACCAAAGAAAUACAAAUUCAAACUGAGUUUCACUCCUUCCCUUAAGCACCAACUUAUUUUCAAACAAAUUUACUGUUAAUAAUGGUUCUAUGACUUUUAUACCCACUUCUAAACUAUAUUCAUCCUUCAUCAAAAAGAUGGUUUCCCUCCCUUUGACAUGCAAGUCAAGGACACAAAAAGAAAACUACAGAUGUACUAAAUAUUUUUGCAUACUUUGCAACUUGUAAUUGGAAUUAUUUAGCACUUAAAUAUUAUAAUAAUAAUAAAAGAUAAUUAAAAUAGUAAGUUUAA